CAGUGACCAGUCAAAAUGAGUAACUCAUCUGACUUUCAAAACGCAUCUCAGUUUGAAAUCAAGUUAAUGUUGCUAUUAACAUGUUCAGAAAGGAGGGAAGAAAAAGAGGAAAAAAGAAAACAAGCUAGGCUAUUAGACGAUCUCCUUAAGACUGCCAGCCCUGUGUCUUUAUGUUAUAAACUACUCUUUCUGAGUUAUAUAUGACUCAAGACUUUUUUUGUGCUUUGUUUCUUCCAGCAGGAAAAGCAGAUAAACAACAUGCCCAUGAAUUUUGCUUAAAGGUGCAUCAACUGCAACAAAUCUGGGUAGGACUGCCACUGCAGAGCAUACACUGGGCGAGAUCAAUGCUUUGCUCUCUGCUGAGACAGAACACGAAGGAAAGGGACCUGGAGCCCCAGCAAAGGCAGCGCCCCGGCCAGCAGAGCUGCUCAAACUGCUCGAGUCUGCACCUGUACCCACCUGCACGGUCUCUCUGCCAUGCUGCGGGGCACCGAUACCCUCUGUCUGCCCAACAGAAGCACACAAAAUCAGCACCUGGACCUGGGGUAUGUGAACACAUCACAGCGGAUAUCUUCUGUGAUAUUAACCGUGGAAGAGUCACCCAUAUCUUCAUCUGACUUUGGUUCCCGAAUUACAAAAUGGGGACUGUCCCAUGUGUUGUCACCUGAGCGACUCUGAAGAUCGCUCUUUGUGUAUAGUGCACAUAAUGCCACAGAAGUGCUAUAUUUUGCCUUUUUUUCCCCUCAUUUUCAGUUCUGUUUUUAAACUUUCACCUUAAAAAUUAGAAAGGCACAGUUUGCAUGGUGACACACCACUGUUCGUACAGCACUCUGGGAAAUACAAAAGACUUUUUUUUGUUUCUAGUUUGCAUUUAUCCUAUUUAUAGGCAAUCAUCAGCAGAUAAAUGUCCUGUUAAAUUCAUCUUCAUCUAAGCAAAAGUUGAGCUUAUGAUUAUGAUAAAAUGAAAGCAAUUUCUAAAUAUGCUAUGCUGGGGAUUUAUGUUAAUUCACUCUAAAUCAUAUAAAUUAUAAGUGACAGUUUAUCCAGAGCAUUAUUUUGUGUUUCUAAUUUUACCCUAAUUAUUUUCAUUCAGUAGGUUUAUACCAAUAGCUGUUACAUAUCUCCAUGCCUUUGUCUACCUUUCUUGUUGUGAUCCCAGCUCUCAGGUAACAGAUACACAAUAAAAGGAACCUAUUCCUCUAACA
rnacentral:lncRNA from 1 species